AUUGAACGCUGGCGGCAGGCCUAACACAUGCAAGUCGAGCGGAUGAAGGGAGCUUGCUCCUGGAUUCAGCGGCGGACGGGUGAGUAAUGCCUAGGAAUCUGCCUGGUAGUGGGGGAUAACGUCCGGAAACGGGCGCUAAUACCGCAUACGUCCUGAGGGAGAAAGUGGGGGAUCUUCGGACCUCACGCUAUCAGAUGAGCCUAGGUCGGAUUAGCUAGUUGGUGGGGUAAAGGCCUACCAAGGCGACGAUCCGUAACUGGUCUGAGAGGAUGAUCAGUAACACUGGAACUGAGACACGGUCCAGACUCCUACGGGAGGCAGCAGUGGGGAAUAUUGGACAAUGGGCGAAAGCCUGAUCCAGCCAUGCCGCAUGUGUGAAGAAGGUCUUCGGAUUGUAAAGCACUUUAAGUUGGGAGGAAGGGCAGUAAGUUAAUACCUUGCUGUUUUGACGUUACCAACAGAAUAAGCACCGGCUAACUUCGUG
rnacentral:rRNA from 1 species